rnacentral:rRNA from 1 species
AACUUUCAGCAACGGAUCUCUUGGCUCUCGCAUCGAUGAAGAACGCAGCGAAAUGCGAUAAGUAAUGUGAAUUGCAGAAUUCAGUGAAUCAUCGAAUCUUUGAACGCACCUUGCGCCCCUUGGUUAUUCCGAAGGGCAUGCCUGUUUGAGUAUCAUGAACACCUCAACUCUUGUGGUUUCCCACAAUGAGCUUGGACUGUGGAGGUUUUGUUGGCCCUGUGGUCAGCUCCUCUCAAAUGGAUCAGCUUACCGGUGUUUGGUGGCAUUACGGGUGUGAUAACUAUCUACGCUCGUGGUCGUCUCCAAAUAACCUCCAGUGAUGGAGGUUCGCUGGAGCUUAUAAAUGUCUCUCCCCAGUGAAGACAGCCUUUGAACGUUCGAUCUCAAAUCAGGUAGGACUACCCGCUGAACUUAAGCAUAUCAAUAA